rnacentral:rRNA from 1 species
CGCUGGCGGCGUGCCUAAUACAUGCAAGUCGAGCGCGGGAAACAGACAGAAGCCUUCGGGUGGAUGUUGCGUACCGAGCGGCGGACGGGUGAGUAACACGUGGGCAACCUGCCUGUAAGAUCGGGAUAACUUACGGAAACGUGAGCUAAUACCGGAUAAGACGUCCAUCCGUCCUGGAUGGAUGCUAAAAGAUGGCAUCACGCUAUCACUUACAGAUGGGCCCGCGGCGCAUUAGCUAGUUGGUGGGAUAAAAGCUCACCAAGGCGACGAUGCGUAGCCGACCUGAGAGGGUGAUCGGCCACACUGGGACUGAGACACGGCCCAGACUCCUACGGGAGGCAGCAGUAGGGAAUCAUCCGCAAUGGACGAAAGUCUGACGGUGCAACGCCGCCGUGAGUGAUGAAGGUUUUCGGAUCGUAAAACUCUGUUGUUAGGGAAGAACAAGUGGCCAUCGAACAGGUUGUCACCUUGACGGUACCUAACCAGAAAGCCCCGGCUAACUACGUGCCAGCAGCGGC